rnacentral:rRNA from 1 species
UACGGGGGGGGCUAGCGUUAUUCGGAUUGAAUGGGCGUAAAGGGUGCGUAGGCAAAUUAUGUAAAAUAUAACGAAAUCCCAAUAGCGAUGUUGGAAGGGUAUGUUUAUUACGUAGUAGAAGAGUUUAGUACAGGUUAGGGGAAUUUUCAGGGUAGAGAUACAAUGCUUCAAUACUGAAAGGAAUACCAGAGGCGAAGGCGCCUUUCUAGAUUAAACUGACGCUGAGGCAUGAAGGUGUGGGGAGCAAACGGG